rnacentral:rRNA from 1 species
CGAACGGGUGAGUAACGCGUGAGGAACCUGCCUCAAAGAGGGGGACAACAGUUGGAGACGACUGCUAAUACCGCAUAAGCCCACGGUGCCGCAUGGCACAGAGGGAAAAGGAGCAAUCCGCUUUGAGAUGGCCUCGCGUCCGAUUAGCUAGUUGGUGAGGUAACGGCCCACCAAGGCAACGAUCGGUAGCCGGACUGAGAGGUUGAACGGCCACAUUGGGACUGAGACACGGCCCAGACUCCUACGGGAGGCAGCAUG